rnacentral:rRNA from 1 species
UACGAAGGGUGCAAGCGUUACUCGGAAUUACUGGGCGUAAAGCGUGCGUAGGUGGUUGUUUAAGUCUGUUGUGAAAGCCCUGGGCUCAACCUGGGAAUUGCAGUGGAUACUGGGCUACUAGAGUGUGGUAGAGGGUAGUGGAAUUCCCGGUGUAGCAGUGAAAUGCGUAGAGAUCGGGAGGAACAUCCAUGGCGAAGGCAGCUACCUGGACCAACACUGACACUGAGGCACGAAAGCGUGGGGAGCAAACAGG